UUCUGUAGAGUUUUCCUCCCUUUGGAUAUUCAAUACUUGGUUUAAUAGCUGUUGAAACUUAUUACUACUGUAUAUUUAUUAGGUUGCAACAUGAGCUGAAAUUCAUUUGACCAGGAAGAAGUACUUACAUGGGUGGUCACUUGGUUAACGCAUUCAAAUAAGUUUUCGGUAACUGAUUGAUCAAUACUUGCCGUGUCUUGGAGUUGACCGAAUCAAUAUCCUUUUGAAUAUUUCCUUUCUUGAGUGUACCUGAUUGAUGAAUACUUCUUUUUAUUGGCUUUUAUUUUCUCAUUAAAAAAACACUAAAUAAGUUAGUUUUUGUUCAGGCUCUAUUAUGGUACCAUUUUAUAACCUUUCUGAUAUAAAAGGGUUGUGAGGACUCCAAACCAUUUCUAAUCAGGUUGGUCAAUGUGUGGACAUGUAACGAGAACACUGCUAAACGCUUACAUGUUCAGAGGAUUCAGAUGUGCCAAUACCUACUUACCAAGAACCCUGAAAUACAAAACCAGAGGUCCAUAGGAAAUUUACAAGCAAAGUUGAGGGGAAGGUGAGUUAUGACGAUUUUGCAUACUUUAUUCUCGCUGAGGAGGAAAAUCAUCUGAGCAUAGUCUUGAGUAUUGGUACACGUCUCUUCCUUUCUCUCUUCAGCCAUUUUGUCUUGUUGGUAUGCUCAUCUAUGUCCCAUGGAUGUUAAACACAUCAUCUUGGUAGUUUUGUGUUUUUUUUUCCCUUGAUAUUGAUUAAAACAACGUUUGCAGAUUCAAGUGCAUAUAUAGAACUGGGCACUCCCAAUUAAAUGCAGUUUUUUUACGAAGAGCGGCUGCAUCGCAUCUUUGAAGAUAUCCUAUGUCUUUUCAUAUUCCUGGCUAUUCUGUUUUUUCUUUUUUCUUAUUCGAAACAUCAAUUUGUUGAAUGACUCUUUCAGAAGGAGAACUGCAUCUCACUCCAGGAUAUGAAAGACUUUCUGGAAAUGUUUUCAAAAUACUCUUCAACCUAAACAAAUUCAUGGCCUCUGAAACUUAUUCAUUCGCCAGGUUGCAACAUGAGCUGAAAUUCAUUUGAUAACCGGAAGAAGUACUUUGACAUGGGUCACUUGGUUAAGGCAUUUCGAUAAGUUCCUUUUGAACCCUUUUUACUGAAUUAGUUUGUGUUCCUUCACCUUUAUCGCGUCUCUGAAAUUGUUCAUUAUUCAAUCUUUUUAACAGGUUUUCUUUAUACCUGACUGAUGAAUACUUCUUUAUAAUGUGUCUUGGAGUUGGCCGAAUCAAUUCUUUUGAAUUGUUUCCUUCGCUGAGUUUACCUGAUUGAUCAAUACUUGUUUAUUGGCUUUAUUUUCUCAUUUUUAAAAAAAUACGUUAGUUGUUGUUCAAGCUCUAUUAUGGUACCAUUUUAUAACCUUUAUGACAUAAAAGGGUUGUGAGGGCUUAAAACCAUUUUUAGUCGGGUAUUUAAGGGUUUGACUACUUCUUUCUUAAGGAUUUUGUUAGCAGGCUCUGUAUUUUAUUGUUAUGGCUUUAUGUAUAUAUUUGAACAUGUUGAAUUUAACCACCUAAUUUUUUCCCCCAUUUUAGGAGAAUCAAAAAGCAGCACUUCGUCUAGCAGCACAGUGACAAAUUCGUUGAAGGGAAGACCAGUGCAGGUACCCUGUUCUGUUCUUGUAAGUAAUAGCCACUAGCUCUGGAAGAUUGUUUAAUAACUUGAUCUUCUUGGGGGGCCGUAUAUUUGAGGGUAAAGAACCUCCACAACUUGUUGCACUUUUAAACAUAAAAAGGUAUUUCUUUUGAUUGUUGCUGCAAGACAAUAUUUCUUUUGAUAUAGAUACAUUAACUUUGACCAAUAUGACCUAUUGACAGAGGAAAUGCAUUUAUAGAAAGUGACGAUGGAAAAACUGAUGUUGGUGCCUCUCUUUUGUAAUAUAUUACAUACCUAAAAGGUUUGUUUACAAUUUACCCUUCUGCUGCAGCGUCAGUGUAGCAGUGGGAACCAAGGACCAAGGCAAAGAGCUAAGACUUUGAUUCCAAUUUCCAAAGAGGUUUUGAUGUAGGAGAAAUUUAGGGAAUUUACCUUUUCUUUUAAUAUUUACUUAUUUCACGUUUUCUAUUUUGUUUAGGGUUUUCUAUUUUAUGUUUUGGUUUUAUUCUAUAUAUAUAUAGAGAUCCUAGGUUAUUUACAGUACACGUUUUAUCAUUCUAAUUAAUAAAAGCAGAGAGCUUUUCUUUAAUCUGGUGGAUUUCCAGAGUUUCAACCUUUCAAGUUCGACGCUUGCGAACUUGAUUUCUAUCUAGGCAUAGUGUUUGCUAUUCCUAGAGAUUCCGACUGCGUCAAGUGGUAUCAGAGCAGGUUUUCUCCUGUCUCUUUUUGAAGCUUGAUAGGCCAUGGGAGAUCACCCGGUUACCAAAGCAGAUUUCGAGGGUUUUGCGUCGACUAUUACCACGACUCUUACCACGGCUCUUACUGCUUUGACCAAUCAGAUGACGUUGUUGACAACCAAGAUCAGAAACGGCAACAACAACACAAAUCAACAAAGAGGCAGAAGAGAAAAAUCAACUAAAGAUCUACAGAGUGGAAUUGAUUUUGAACAUCAGAUGCAUGUAUUAAUCAAUAAGAUUAAAUAUCAACAGAAAACUAGAGAGGAAGCGAUUCGGGUUCCACGAGGAGAAAACAAUCGUGUUGUGAUUGAUGAAAAUACAAGUUCUAAUGAAGAAUCCAUGAAGGAAGAGAUUGGUCAAGAGAAUCUACAUAAUAAUUAUGAUUCUCACAUGGAUGCUAAAGAAGAACUCGUGAAGAUCUUGGCAGCUUUCUGUUUUUUUCCCUUGAUAUUGGUUAAAACCAUGUUUGCAGGUACAUAGACCUGGAUGGAGAUGGGGUGAUCACUCCCAAUGAAGAGAACCAUUGAAGAUAUCCUCUGUCAAAUAUUCGACAUGAUUAAACCAGAGGCAAGAGUUCUUUCAAAUCAUAACAUGGUCUUUUCAUUUUACUGGCUAUUCUGUUUUUUUCUUUCUUAUUCGAAACAUCAAUUUGUUAAAUGACUCUUUUAUAAGGAGAACUGCAUCUCACUCCAGGAUCUGAACUUUCUAAAAUGUUUUCAAUAUACUCUUCAACCUGAAAAAAUUCAUGGCGUUUGAAACUCGUGACCCUUUUCUCAUUUGCCAACUGUUGCAGCGUGAGCUGAAAUUCAUUUGGUUAAAGCGUAAGCUAAAAUUCAUUUUACAACAAGGAGUACUUUGACAUGAGUCACUUGAUUAAUGCAUCCAAAUAAGUUCCCUGAACCCUUUUUACUCAGUUAGUUUGUGUUCUUUUCACCUUUAUCACGUCUCUGAUUUUCAUUAUUGUUUCUUUUAACAGGUUUUCUAUUAUGAUCCAGGAACUCUCAAAACCGUUUUGUCUUAUAUUACAGGAUCAGUCUGGCAGUGGGAACCUUGCCUUCCGCAUUUAAUUCUUCUUCUGCUCUCCGAAUGAGAGAGAAGCAAAGUAAAGUUCAAAGAGUGCACAAAGAAAUAAGCAAGCUGGUGUUGGUACAUUAACAUUGCUCAAAACUGGGGUUCCAGCAAUAGCCAACAGAUGAUCCUUUUGAAUAAUGUUUGUGGUUACAGUUCUUGCUAGAGAUCACAUUGGGGUUCCUGGCUUAGGCUCGUGAGUUGGCUUUUUCUGCAAGUUUGUGUGGGUUUAACUCAGAAUCAAUUCAUGAUGGAGAGCCGAGACAGUUCAAGGGGAGGUCAAGGCGCUGAAGCUUUAUGUCAUCAAAAUCACCCGCACGAACACCAGAAUUAACAAGUUAGGCAUCACAAAGAGGGUAACACGGCUAGCCAAAGAAGGAACAUGAAAAAUGACUUUGGCAAUCGGUGAUGGUGAAAAUGAUGUUGGAAUGAUUCAAGAAGCUGCUAUUGGUGUUGGCAUAAGUGUCGUUGUGAUAUAGGAAAAAGAUGGUGAUAAAUCAAUGACACGUGGACGGUGGUAAUUGAAGAUUAAAAGAAACGGUCAAGAUCUUUUGAAGAUUAAGAACAGAAGAAUGAACCUAAUAAGAAGUUGAAGACCCUUUAUUCUCUCAUUAUGCAAAAAUCUGAGAUUGUAUCUUCUUCUCCAUUUGGUUCUUUGUUUGUUCUUGAGAAUUCUCUGAAAUUCUCAAGCUAUUCUUCAUUGUUGCUGGAGCUUUCUCGUUUUGAGACUCUUGCUUAUGAGAAGCGAAUUGAUGUUUUAUGAACAUAGGUUUGAUUAUCUUUAAAAAUGGUUUGUGUUUGAAUUAGAUACAGUUUUCCUGUAUCACGUUGAAGGAUAUCUAACAAUUACAAAAUCAGAGAAUUGGAGUUUUGGCUUGUGUCUUGUUGUGGGUUUCAGAUCACUCACUUCACUUGGUCUCUUGGAUCAGGAUCGAAGAAAUACCGGUAUUGGAAGAUGAGUAAAGGAAAGCAUUUCAUAUUGAUACAAAAUCCUCUUAAAAUACUGGUCAGACUUUCUAAUCAAACACUGGUUCUCAACUUUAGCCAAUGUUUCAUCUAAUGCUCUUCUCUGUUUCUCCAAUUAGGCUUGGGGGGAAUUAGUGUCGAUAUACAGUGAUCUCUGUCACAUGGGAACACCACCAGCUGUCAUCAAUGCGGAUGAGCUUCAGCGAGAUCCCGAGGUUUUGUUUCUGUAAUAGGUUUUAUUUUUUCAUCGCUCUAAAAAUGGUUCAGUUAAGGACUUAAACAUUUUGGAGAUGGAUGCGGUAGACAAGCUAAAUACUGACCAGUGUUCUCCAUGAUCAGUUGAUGGCUAAAGAGAUUUGUUUUGCGGUUCGUUUAUUGUUUCAGCAAAGCCGAGAUAGAAACAAAAAAAGGUGGUGUUGCUACAUCAAAACGGGCGUGUCAGCAACAGUUGAUAUUUUUUCCAAGGAGACUGGAGUUUCUGGUUUCUUCUGUGGUAUGUUCACAUUCACAUGGAAGUUGUUAAUUUUACAGUUGUUUGAUGCUACACUAACAUGAGAUGAUCGUCUAAGUUUGAAAUUACAGUAUCUAUUUACAAAUAUGUUGAAAUUAUAGUCAACAUAACUAUGUGGUGAUCUCUGGUUCGGAAAUUAUAUGGGUUCUUACUUGGUCUCUGGCUUGCUAAAUCGUCCUUCUAUUUCGGAUUUCUUUAAGCUACAAGAUUUGCAAAUUAAAUAGAACCAAAAACUGCUUGUUGUGGUGGCUCUUUUUGUAUGUGUAUGUGUGAAUGCUGAGGAUUUGACUCGCAGGAUGGCUUUGAUCUAUGUUUGUUCUUGAUAUGUCUAUAUUUUACUUGUUUUAAGCAUUAAUUUGUCAUCACUUUAGCAUCAUUUCAUCACUGUUUCAUAUCAUUCUUCAUCGUUCUUGCACGCUUUGCAUGUUUAGGAUAGUUUUGCAUACAUGUUGCAUUUUUGAGUUGUUUUCAGGUGAUUUGGAGCUGUUGGUGAGCAUAUUGGAAGAAGCAAAGCGGAAUCAAGCAGACACUCGACCAAGUCAGUCGAGUAACUCAACCGCCAUCACUAUUCCAGCACUUAAUCACAUACUUGACCAACUACUCUACCUUAUUGGUCGAGUAUCCACAGCCACCAUCGCUCUCCCAGAACUCGAUCAUAUACUCGACCAACUACUCUACCUUGUUGGUCUAGUAUCCACAUCCACCAUCACUCUCUGAAUACUUGACCAACUACUCGACCCUGUUGGUCGAGUAUCCUCUAUCACCUCACUUCAGAAUCACUCGAUCGUGCUCACUUCAAGAACACUCGACCGCAUACUCAACCAUGUUGGUCGAGUACCCUCCAUCGCCUCACUCUUCCACCACUCGACCACGAACUCAACCUAGCAGCUUCAGAGUCUUCUCAAAUCCGUACUCAACCAGACAUUUGAGCAUAAGGAAGAGAAGAGGAUGAAGCAGACACUCGACCCUUCACUCGACCAUGUCGCGACCAGAGCAAGAAACCUCGUCUACUCGAUCGCAUGAGUCGAAUGUAUCCUUAAACCGCCUUAAUACUUUGUCGUUUUGUGUUUUAGGGUUUCUUAAUAUUUGCUAUAAAUAGGUUGUUUCUCUUAAUUCUGAGACUUAAGCUUUAUUCUGCAGAACAA